rnacentral:rRNA from 1 species
UACGUAGGGUGCGAGCGUUAAUCGGAAUUACUGGGCGUAAAGUGUGCGCAGGCGGCCGAGCAAGUCGAGUGUGAAAGCCCCGAGCUUAACUUGGGAAUUGCGCUCGAAACUACCUGGCUGGAGUGCGGCAGAGGAAGGUGGAAUUCCAGGUGUAGCGGUGAAAUGCGUAGAGAUCUGGAGGAACACCGAUGGCGAAGGCAGCCUUCUGGGCCAACACUGACGCUCAUGCACGAAAGCGUGGGGAGCAAGCAGG